UACGUAGGCGGAAAAUUAAGUCAGUAGUGAAAUCCUGCAGCUUAACUGUAGAACUGUUAUUGAUACUGGUUUUCUUGAAUAUAGUUGAGGUAGGCGGAAUGUGUAAUGUAGCGGUGAAAUGCUUAGAUAUUACACAGAACACCGAUUACGAAGGCAGCUUACUAAGCUAUGAUUGACGCUGAGGUACGAAAGCGUGGGGAGCGAACAGGAUUAGAUACCCUGGUAGUCC
rnacentral:rRNA from 1 species